AUGCUGGCCAUAUUACAGGCCUCAUUCAGGGACACACAGUCCACAAUGUCUAUUCAGCUUGAAACACAGAAAGAAUAUUCUAAACUAGGAUCAGAAUCCAAUUCUUCAAGGAGGUGCCGUGAAGCUCAACUGCUUGAGGAAAACAGAUGUGAAUGUGUCGCUCAAAUUUUAAGAAAUGCAGCUUUUUGGAUGUGUUUAACUAUGUGUUUCAGGAAAUUGAAGGUCAGUUGUUACAAACUGCUUAGGGAGACAAGCUGA
rnacentral:lncRNA from 1 species